ACGAACGCUGGCGGUAGGCCUAACACAUGCAAGUCGAACGGCAGCACAGUAAGAGCUUGCUCUUAUGGGUGGCGAGUGGCGGACGGGUGAGGAAUACAUCGGAAUCUACCUUUUGGUGGGGGAUAACGUAGGGAAACUUACGCUAAUACCGCAUACGCCCUUCGGGGGAAAGCCGGGGACCUUCGGGCCUGGCGCUGAUAGAUGAGCCGAUGUCGGAUUAGCUUGUUGGUGAGGUAAUGGCUCACCAAGGCGACGAUCCGUAGCUGGUCUGAGAGGAUGAUCAGCCACACUGGAACUGAGACACGGUCCAGACUCCUACGGGAGGCAGCAGUGGGGAAUAUUGGACAAUGGGCGCAAGCCUGAUCCAGCCAUACCGCGUGGGUGAAGAAGGCCUUCGGGUUGUAAAGCCCUUUUGUUGGGAAAGAAAAGCAUUCGGUUAAUACCCGGGUGUUCUGACGGUACCCAAAGAAUAAGCACCGGCUAACUUCGUGCCAGCAGCCGCCGCCG
rnacentral:rRNA from 1 species